GCUUGUCUCAAAGAUUAAGCCAUGCAUGUCUUAGUGUAAAUAACUCUUAUGAAACUGCGAAUGGCUCAUUAAAUCAGUUAUCAAAUACGUGAUGGUCGCCUACUACAUGGAUAACCGUAGUAAUUCUAGAGCUAAUACAUGCACAAAUUCCCGUCAGGGAUGUAUUUAUUAGAUUGAAACCAAUGCGGGGUAACCCGGUGUUUGGUGAUUCAUAAUAACUUUCGGAUCGCAUUUGCGAUGCAUCAUUCAAGUUUCUGCCCUAUCAGCUUUGGAUGGUAGGGUAUUGGCCUACCAUGGCAUUAACGGGUAACGGAGGAUUUGGGUUCGAUUCCGGAGAGGGAGCCUGAGAAAUGGCUACCACAUCCAAGGAAGGCAGCAGG
rnacentral:rRNA from 1 species